UACGAAGGGGGCUAGCGUUGCUCGGAAUUACUGGGCGUAAAGGGAGCGUAGGCGGACAUUUAAGUCAGGGGUGAAAUCCCAGAGCUCAACUCUGGAACUGCCUUUGAUACUGGGUGUCUUGAGUGUGAGAGAGGUGAGUGGAACUCCGAGUGUAGAGGUGAAAUUCGUAGAUAUUCGGAAGAACACCAGUGGCGAAGGCGACUCACUGGCUCAUUACUGACGCUGAGGCUCGAAAGCGUGGGGAGCAAACAGG
rnacentral:rRNA from 1 species